rnacentral:lncRNA from 1 species
UACUGACCCAGAGUCAGAUGAGAUCCUUUAUCUACUGACCCAGAGUCAGAUGAGGCCCUUUAUCUACUGACCCAGAGUCAGAUGAGGCCCUUUAUCUACUGACCCAGAGUCAGAUGAGGUCCUUUAUCUACUGACCCAGAGUCAGAUGAGGUCCUUUAUCUACUGACCCAGAGUCAGAUGAGGUCCUUUAUCUACUGACCCAGAGUCAGAUGAGGUCCUUUAUCUACUGACCCAGAGUCAGAUGAGGUCCUUUAUCUACUGACCCAGAGUCAGAUGAGGUCCUUUAUCUACUGACCCAUAGUCAGAUGAGGCCCUUUAUCUACCUACCCAGAGUCAGAUGAACUCGUGGAUACCAUUUUUAUGUCUCUGUGUCCAGUAUGAAGGA